AUUGCUUUGCAGUGGGAUGAAAGUCGCAAGACACCUUGGGAGGGGCCUAUGGCUCAUCAGCUUGUUGGUAAGGUAACGGCUUACCAAGGCUACGACGAGUAGCGGGUGUGGGAGCAUGACCCGCCUCACAGGGACUGAGACACUGCCCUGACUCCUACGGGAGGCUGCAGUCAAGAAUUUUCCCCAAUGGACGAAAGUCUUAGGGAGCGACGCCGCGUGUAGGAAGAAGCUCUUCGGGGCGUAAACUACUUUUGUAAGGGAAUAAAACCUGAAUGUACCUUACGAAUAAGGACCUGCUAAACUCGUGCCAGCAGCAGCGGUAAUACGAGUGGUCCAAGCGUUAUCCGGUCUUAUUGGGCGUAAAGGGUCCGCAGGCGGUAGUACAAGUCCGGUGUUAAACUCUGGUGCUCAACAUCAGAACUGCAUUGGAAACUGUACAACUAGAGGCAGGGAGAGGCAGAUGGAAUUGUCGGUGUAGUAGUAAAAUGCGUUAAUAUGGACAAGAACACCAAAGGCGAAGGCAUUCUGCUAGAACAGUACUGACGCUCAGGGACGAAAGCGUGGGGAGCGAAUGGGAUUAGAUACCCCAGUAGUCCACGCCCUAAACGAUGAAUGCCAGACAUUGGAAGUAUCGACCCUUUCAGUGUCGUUUACUCAAGUUAACACGUUAAGCAUUCCGCCUGGGAAGUACGGCCGCAAGGCUAAAACUUAAAGGAAUUGACGGGAACCCGCACAAGCGGUGGAGCAUGUGGUUUAAUUCGACGGUAAACGAAGAACCUUACCAGGGCUUGACAUGAAGCGAAUUCGCUGGAAACAGCUUAGUGCCCGCAAGGGAACGCUUACACAGGUGCUGCAUGGUUGUCGUCAGCUCGUGUCGUGAGAUGUCGGGUUAAGUCCUUUAACGAGCGCAACCCUCAUCUUGUGUUACAUUUCACAAGAAACUGCCUGGGUUAACCGGGAGGAAGGUGAGGAUGACGUCAAAUCAGCAUGGCCCUUACGCCCUGGGCUACACACGUGCUACAAUGGUUAUUACAAUGGGCCGCGAAGUCGCGAGACGGAGCAAAUCCCAUCAAAGAUAGCCUCAGUUCGGAUUGAAGGCUGCAACUCGCCUUCAUGAAGCUGGAAUCGCUAGUAACCGCCGGUCAGCUAAACGGCGGUGAAUACGUUCUCGGGUUUUGUACACACCGCCCGUCACGUCAAGAGAGUCGGUGGCACCUGAAGUACCUCGUUCGAGGAGCUAGGGUGAAAUCGAUGAUAGGGACGAAGUCGUAACAAGGCA
rnacentral:rRNA from 1 species